rnacentral:rRNA from 1 species
GAUCCUGCCGGANGCCAUNGNUNNNUNNNUNCCNAUUANCCAUGCUAGUCGUACGAGUUCACACNNGUGGCGAAUAGCUCAGUAACACGUNNCCAAUCUACCNUUCAGCGGCGAAUAUCCUCGGGAAACUGAGGCUAAUCCGCCNNACACCNCUCUCAGACCGGACUGUCGAGAGGUCAAAACGCUUUCGAGCGCUGAAGGAUGAGGCUGCGGCCGAUUAGGUAGACGGUGGGGUAACGGCCCACNGUGCCCAUAAUCGGUACGGGUCGUGAGAGCGAGAACCCGGAGACGGAAUCUGAGACAAGAUUCCGGGCCCUAUGGGGCGCAGCAGGCGCGAAACCUUUACACUGCACGCCAGUGCGAUAAGGGGACUCCAAGUGCGAGGGCAUAUCGUCCUCGCUAUCCUGUACUGUAGGGUAGUACAGUAUCAAGAGCUGGGCAAGACCGGUGCCAGCCGCCGCGGUAAUACCGGCAGCUCGAGUGAUGGCCAAUCUUAUUGGGCCUAAAGCGUCCGUAGCUGGCCGCGCAAGUCCGUCGGGAAAUCCAUCAGCCCAACUGAUGGGCGUCCGACGGAAACUGCACGGCUUGGGACCGGAAGGCUCGAGAGGUACGUCCGGGGUAGGAGUGAGAUCCCGUAAUCCCGAACGGACCACCGAUGGCGAAAGCAUCUCGAGAAAACGGAUCCGACAGUGAGGGACGAAAGCUAGGGUCUCGAACCGGAUUAGAUACCCGGGUAGUCCUAGCCGUAAACGAUGUUCGCUAGGUGUGGCACUGGCUACGAGCCAGUGCUGCGCCGUAGGGAAGCCGAGAAGCGAACCGCCUGGGAAGUACGUCUGCAAGGAUGAAACUUAAAGGAAUUGGCGGGGCAGCAC